UGGUGUGUAAGUAGUCCCUUAUAUCGUUUCUGUUAUAUUGCCUUCCAGUAGAAAUGAUAAGAGUUUCAGAGUUUUAGAAACACUCCACAAAUGAAAGCGAAAUGUGGAAAUCGUAAAUUCGUGUUGCAGCGAAUCGAGAAGUUUCCGCACAACAUAGGAAAUUUAUCUUAAAUUCGUGUUGCAGGGAAUAUUUGAGAGAUAUAAUAAAGACAAGAGUGGGAAAAUUGAUUUGUUUGAAUUGAGGGAUGCGCUUUAUGGCAUAGGAUAUGCAGUUCCUCCUUGUAUUCUUAAAAUUCUGAUAUCCAAGUAUGAUGAUGGAAGUGGAAGAAAGAUUGAACUCAACUUUGGCAACUUUGUUGAAUGUGGCAUGAUUUUAAAGGUGAUACCAUAACUACUCUCUUUUAGACUUGAUUCACUUGAUAAAAUUUGGCACUAGGUGGAAAUGGUGCCAUAUGAUUUUGUAUGCAGAUACACUCUUCAGUUUUCAGUUUUGGUACAUAGACUUGCAUACAUCAAGACGCUUAGACGCACACGUAACAUGUCUACUGUCAUACCAUUUUUUGUCUACUGUCAUACCAUUUUUAUGUCUACUGUCAUACUGGUACAACAACCUUUAAUUACGACGAAUUUAUGUCUACUGUCAUACCAUUUUUUGUAACAUGUUUCAUUGCAGGCUCUUGAGCCCUCAAAAGAAGUUGCAAUGCAACUCUUAGUCAGGUCGAUAUAUUUUUUAAAUCAGAAAUCUAGUCUGGAUAUGCAGAGCCAGCUUUCCCUAUAUUUCGAAAAUGUCGUACAACUGGUACAAGAUGGCUACUAUCUUGAAUCAUUGUGUUAUGCAAGAAAACACAAGGUGAUGUUAAAUUAAUGUCAAAUCUUCAAUUUCUUGAGAAGAAACAUUCUUUAUAUAAAAUAAUGAAGCUAAAAUUGCUUUUCUCUUUAUUGCGAGAAAUCAAUUUCCCCUUGAUAUGGGUUGGGUCUCUUCUCUUAAGGCAUUUCUAGGAUUUAAGUCUGACAGUAGCUUAAUACAGUUCAAUUAUCAGUUGAAAAGGUGUGAUUAUGACUUAGUAACCUGGAGGAAAAGUCUAGAGCUACGUGCAAGCGCUGAACUUCGAAGGGGAUUCGAGUUACUGGAUUUAGACGGAGGGAUAGAACGGGACCUUUACAUCAAUGGCAUGAUACGAAGAGCGACAAAGAAAUUGCAAAAACAACAUUGGCUCAUCCUUAUUUCGAUAGGGAAGGUCGGCUAGCUUUAUCUUUCAUGCAGAAACCGAGGAUGAAAUACUUUCGAGCGAGACAACAAGAUCGAAUUUUUAAUUUUAGCGAACAUUUUUUGUUUCUAAUUUUAGCGAAUAUUUUCUGUUUCUAAUUUUAGCAAAUAUUAAAUUGUUGCCUAGAAGGAAUAUUUAAAUUAUAUAUGAGAUUUAUUUGAAUUUUUAUACAAAAUAAAUUAUGUU